rnacentral:tRNA from 1 species
GCGCAGGUGGCGAAACCGGUAGACGCAGCGGGCUUAAAACCCGCCAUUUCCUGCAAAGGGGUGUACGGGUUCGAGUCCCGUCCUGCGCACCA